AUUCAUUUUUGUUCCAAAUGUCCCUAAAACAUAAUUGAUAUAGAAAAGACUAGACUUUACGAAUGAUGUCCACAAUGUAAGUAUUUCAAAUAAAUGUUAUACAACUAAGUAUUGGAAAUGAAUGAUUAUAUUUCCGCCUGCUUCAGGCAUUCAGACUUAUUACUUGUCUGUUAUCGUAUCACCGACUUUUAUAAAUUAUAAUUGGUGAUAUUUAAAUCAUAACAAACACAAUCAUUGUCGAACUCAAACAAAACAUAUCUUAUUUCCUUAAAAAUUCCCGGGGUUUUCUAAAGCUAUUGAAACAUUUGAUGAAAAAAAAAUUUCGUCUGACUUCACUACUGCCUCAUGAUAGAUUGGGCUAUAUAUGGUAGUUACUUGAAUCAUGGUUGGCCAGGAAGUUUUACUUCCCUGUCAUAGUUAGAACUAUUUUAACAUCAUGGUUGGAUGAGUAACCUUUUUACAUAAUACAGUCAGGCUGUUUUAAGUCAUUUUUUUAAUUUCCAGUUUACAAAACCUUGAAUUUUUUUUUAAACUAAGGAUUUUCUUAUCCCAGAAAUAUAUUACCUUAGCCGUAUUUGGCACAACUUUUUGGAAUUUUGAACUUGUUUGGCUUUAUAACUGUUUUGAUCCGAGCGUCAGUGAUGAGUCUAAUGUAGACGGAACGAGCGUCUGGCGUAUCAAAUUUUAGUAUUUCUUACCAUUUGGUUAAUAGUUAAAUCAUGGUUGGCUGCAUAUUUUUUAACAUGUGGUAGAAUUUUCUUUAACAGCACCUCAAUCCGUCACAGUAUAAAUUGGGUUUUUUAUUUUUUUUUAUUUUUUUGGGGAAUCAACUUAUUUCAUCGUUUAAAUACAAACUAUAAACAAAAAUUGUGGAAAGAACGCAGAACUCAUUUGAAAGAUGCAAAUAUAAAUGCAUCUAUGAAAACACAAAAUGGAGGUGGAGGGCUACAUAUACAACCCUGAUUCAUUAGCUUAUUCAAACGUUCGUAAAAGUCAUAUUCCUCUGAUAUCAAUAUAGAAUUUCAAUGUAUAGAUUAUCUCUGUGUGUUCUUAAUACUUCACACGUUAUUUCAUAUUGCACAGUUUAAUCAUUAUACAGACAUAAAAACUUUUCAUAGGGAAUAUUGUUCUUACUUGACCUUUAUAAAAGUAUCAGGUUACGUAAUAAUUGGUCCUUAAUCUAUUAAAAUCGUGUUUGUCUUUUGAGUAGGUCGUACGGUGACCUAUAGUUGUUAAUGUCUGUGUCAUUUUUGGUGUUUUGUGGAGAGUUGUCUGAUUGGAAAUAAUACCACAUCUUCUCUUUCUUUUAAAUCAUCAUAGAUACCAGGAUUCAUUUUUGUAUUUACGCCAGAUCAUUUUACAUCUGGUAUACUUUAACUUUCAUACGAUGUUUAUAUUUUCCUUCUAAGAAACUGUCACAAAAACCAAUAAAUCUUAUGAUAUCAAAGGGAUAAUCAAAAUCAAGUCUGAAACAAAUUUUCCGGACGUUUAAUGACUCAACAAUUUAUUACAUGGAAUACGACAUAUAGCAGAUUACAAGUAAAACAGCAUCAAUCAAGCGUAAGGCAUUAAGCGGUUACUGCAAGAGAACAUGUAAGGAUUUCUCAAGUGACAUAUGAAUGCGUAUGAAAUAAUUGAUAAGAGAUAAACAGUACAUCGGAAACAUAUCAGAUAUCAAAUAUUCAUUCACAAAUGAUAGUAAGCGAACACCUUAAUGAGUCGUGAAGAAUUUGUUAAUAACAUAUACGUAUACGGAGUAAGGUAUAUUCUAGUAGAAUAAAGAACAUCCACUAACGAAAUGUAAAAUAAAAUACAAGAUGUUAUCUACGUCAACAAUUUAUCUUUUUUUUUCAUUACAGAUAGAGUAUCUAGGAAAUUUAGAUGAAAGUUCGAUGUUUUGAAAUAUAUAGUAUACGCGAUAAAGAUUAUUGUUGUAUUUCAGAAGGUAUUGUCAAUUGUACGCCUAUCACAUGUUCUAAGUGACCGUAAUGUGAUAAAGAGAAUACUGUAGUACUGUAAUGACACGUCGAUGAUAUGUUUAACAGAUG
rnacentral:lncRNA from 1 species